rnacentral:rRNA from 1 species
UUUAAGCAUUUGUACACCUGUGAUGGUACUGUUGAUCCUUCUCUUAUUAUUCCGCUUGUCAACCUGAUUAUUAAUGAUGAUAUGAAUUAUGAUUUAUGUAAGUCAUUCUCAGAUCAAGAAAUCAGUGAUGCUCUUUUUCAAAUUGUACCCCUUAAAGUUCCAGGUCCAUAUGGCUUUCCUGCAAGAUUUUUUCAACGGAAUUGGGGACUUCUCAAAGAGGACAUUAUUCGUGCAGUAAAAAGGUUCUUUGGCACUGCUAUCAUGUCGAAGGGUGUAAAUGAUACGGUUAUGGUUCUUACCCCUAAGGUGAAGACACCCCCCCCCCAAUCGAUUAAAGAUUUCCAGCCUAUCAGUCUCUGCAACGUUAUUUAUAAAGUUAUUUCUAAGUGUCUCGUCAACACACUGAGACCGCUUCUUGAUGGUAUGAUCUCUCCAACCCAAAGUGCUUCUAUUCCUGGUAGACUAAUCUCUGACAAUGCGCUUAGAGCCUUUGAAUGUAUGCAUUCUUAGAGCACGCUUAAGGAUGGUCAGGGUGAAUUUUGUGCUUAUAAAUUGGAUCUGGCAAAGGCGUGUGACAGGGUAGAUUGGCACUUUUUGAAGAGCAUGUGGGGGCGUUGGUUUGCUCCGGGGUGGAUAAAAUGGAUUAUGGCUUGUGUUACAUCAGUCAAAGUUUCUGUACGCGUCAAUGGCCAACUCUUGGAGUCAUUCUCCCCUCGUGGUAUCAGGCAAGGGGAUCCUUUAUCUCCAUAUUUAUUCUUGUUUGUGGUGGAGGAUCUAUCUUUGUUGCUUCAGGAUGCAUGUACUAGAGGAGCCCUUCUGGACUUCAAGGUUAAUAGGCAUGCUCCAGGUGUUUCCCAUCUUAUGUUUGGCGAUGAUUGUCUAUUUUUUUCAAGGGGACCACUGCAAGCAUUGAAAAUUAAAAAUAUUAUUUCCUCUUAUGAGAAGGGCACUGGACAGUUAUUGAGUGCGGAUAAGUGUUCUAUUAUAUUUGGGAAGAACUGCGGUAUGAAAGUCGUGACUGUUAUGGUAAUCUUGUGCAUCAUUGCUGAGAGUUUUAAGGACAAAUAUCUUGGGUUGUCGGUGCCUCAAGGUAGAAUGAAGGCUGGUAAAUUUCAAUCUACCAAAGAAAAGUCUCUCAAAAUUCUAUCAGAUUGGAUAGAAAAAUAUGCGUCUUGUGGGGAGGAAACUUUGAUUAAAUAUGUCUUGCAGGCCCUUCCGGUGUAUGCUACGGGUAUCCUUAAAUUCCUGACAUCGCUUUGUGAGGAAUUAUCACAGAUUAUAAGGAUUUCUUGGUGGGGUGAUGAGGAGGAUAGGAGGAGAACUCAUUGUCUGACUUGGGAUAAAUUGACUAGGCCUAAGGGUGAGGGACACAUAAGAUUUCGCAAUCUCAGAUUAUUUAAUCAAGCUCUCCUAGCUAAGCAGGCCUGAAGAUUGGUGGUUAACCCUGAAUCCUUGUGUGCUAAGGUGAUCAAGGCAAAAUAUUAUCCUCAGGGACUUAUCCUUGAUAUUGUUUUCCCACAGUCGGCAUCACUCUCUUCGUGAGGUAUAUUGCAUGGAUUGGAUCUGCUAAAAUCAGGACUAAUUUGGAGAGUGUGUGAUGGGUCUAAUAUUAAUAUUUGGAGAUAA